UACGGGGGGGGCUAGCGUUGUUCGGAAUUACUGGGCGUAAAGGGCUCGUAGGCGGCCAACUAAGUCAUACGUGAAAUCCCUCAGCUUAACUGGGGAACUGCGUGUGAUACUGGAUGGCUUGGAUGUGGGAGAGGGAUGCGGAAUUCCAGGUGUAGCGGUGAAAUGCGUAGAUAUCUGGAGGAACACCGGUGGCGAAGGCGGCAUCCUGGACCAUUAUUGACGCUGAGGAGCGAAAGCCAGGGGAGCAAACGGG
rnacentral:rRNA from 1 species